GGUUGUGAGGGCGAUCUGGCUGCGACAUCUGUCACCCCAUUGAUCGCCAGGGUUGAUUCGGCUGAUCUGGCUGGCUAGGCGGGUGUCCCCUUCCUCCCUCACAGCUCCAUGUGCGUCCCUCCCGAAGCUGUGCGCUCGGUGGAAGAGGACGACCAUCCCAGAUAGAAGGAGUGUACUGAUCUUCGGUCAAGGGUAUAUGAUAGCUGCGCUCCCCUGCUAGAACCUCCAAACUAUGGGCCAGUUACUCUCUUUCAGACGAACCCACCUCACAAGGUUGUUGCGGGGAAAAUAGGAGGAGGAAAAUGUGUUGGAUGUAAUCAGUGCCUU
rnacentral:snRNA from 1 species